UAUGUUUUCUGAGGUCUGGCCAUGCUGAACUACAUUUCAGCUAGUGCCUCUGUACUCUGAAAAAUACCUGGAAAGGACACACCAGAAAGAAGAAGCCACUGAACAGGAAAAGGCCAUGAGAGAUGAGAAGAUGAUCAACGGAAGAGGAUAUAGGAUGAAGAUACACAAGUUCGGGUGGGGAGGAGAUGAAGAAAAAGAAGAGGAUAAUUGGAAGGAAAUAUCUUUCUCUACCCCUGACCAAAUUGACUGGUUUGAGUUUGUUGCCUGACGUAAGCAGCAUCAAUGGGCCCAAGGCUGUGGUACAUAAAGCCCACAAACUAUGUGGAUCACGGUAUUCAUCCAGAUUGGAGAAGAAUAAGGCUGCCAUUUUAGGCCAAAAGGGAGGAGAAUAAGGUGACUAUGAUGUUCAAGAAACUAUUUCUUAUUGUUUCUGAGGCUCAGAUGACUCCAUGAUCUCUGUUAUUUGGGCAGUCCAUGAAAUAAUCUAGUGUCCUUUCAUUGAUUUCCUUCUGCUUAUACUAAUUUAAGUUGGGUUUCUAUUAUGUGCAUUCAAAAGUGUAACUAAACUUUAUCUACGUGGCUCCAUUUCCUACUGUAUGCCUCUAUGCACCUUCUGUUCUACUCACUCUGAACUAUUUAACUGAUAUGGUUUGGCUGUGUCCCCACCCAAAUCUCAUCUUGAAUUGUAGCUUCCAUAAUCCCCAGUUGUUGUAGGGGGGGAAUGUUCAUAAUCAUUAUGUCCAAAGACAGAAACCACAACAAAACAUGAUGAUAUAUUUGACUACAUAAAAUGUUAAAUUUAAAUAUCAAAAACCCAUCAAUGAAUAAAUAAGGAAUAUUUAAAGUUUUGCACAUAAUAACACAUUUAGAGAAAUAACAUAUUUUAUUUUCAAUUGCAUAUAUAUAAUAUGUUAUUUUAUUAUUAUUAUUAUUAUUGAGAUGGAAUCUCACUCUGUCGCCCAGGCUGGAAUGCAGUGGAGCGAUCUCGGCUCACUGCAACCUCUGCCUCCCAGGUUCAAGUGAUUCUCCUUCCUCAGCCUCCUGAGUAGCCAGGAUUACAGGUGCCCGCCACCAUGCCUGGCUAAGUUUUUGGUGUUUUUUAAGUAGAGAUGGGGUUUCACCAUAUUGGCCAGGCUGGUUUCAAACUUCUGACCUCAAGUGAUCUGCCCGCCUUGGCCUCCCAAAGUGCUAGGAUUAAAGGUGUGAGUCACCCACGUGGCUAAUAUGUUAUUUUAGUUGCAUAAAUGUAAUAUAUUUUAGUAGUCUUUUUAGUAUUAAAAUGACUAAUUAUGCAAGUUGAUAAUAGAAAGAUGAAUAUCUGAAUAGAGAAAUAGGCAAAUAACACAAGUAAAAAAUUUUUUAAAUUAAAUAUAAAAAUAACAAACAUUUGUACAUUUUUAAAUUGUACUAGAAAUGGAGGAACAACUACUUAACUGUUUAGUCCCUGGUUUGCCCACCCACUCACACAUCUCAUAGCAUAUCCACAACAUGUUGUGUAUUUCUCUAUUGCUUUUCUCAUUCAUCUCUGUAUUGUGGUUAUUUUACCACCUGUCUCUCUCACUAGACUUUAAUUCCUUUUGGAAAACCCAAUGUUCUGUUUCUCUUUCAUGCAUUAACUCGCAGCAUUUAGUUGGGCUCCAUGAAGGUUUAUGGAAUGAAUGAUUUGGGUGAGAGAGUGUCUUAAAAUGGGCAUGCUCCACUAAAUAAUUUGUCAUUGUCUCUCUAAAGCUGCAAGGUAAAUGUCUUUACUUCCUGUGAUAUUUGUUCCUGUAAUUGAAAAAUCUCUAUUCUUUGUAUUAAUGCCUUAUUUUUCUGAUUUGUC
rnacentral:lncRNA from 1 species